CACAGCUAGUUCCUCCUCUGCAGUCUGACUUCAUUUCCGGUGCCGCAGUGCAAGGAGCAGGAGUGAGCCGACUGGAAACAUCGGUCUGGGAUCUGAGUGACGGAGCAACGGGCGUAGAUGGCAAGGAAGAUGAAAUUGCUCUCUGCUGAUAGACUCUUGGAUGAGAUGCGUUAGAGUUCAAGCAAAUGACCCAUCCUGUGUUCCUACAGUGGAGGAGUCACUGAUUUAGAAAGUGUAUGAGCUGGCACACACUCUUGUAGAAGAACUUAAAGCUUUCUUUUCAAAUCAACAAACUAAACUUGGCUGGCUCAUAAGCCCUCAGGAAUACGAGCUGCCUUUUACCUGGAACCUGACCAUGCACAGAGAUGCUGUGCCUUGCCUAUCAGUAAAACACAAAGACAUUUAAGCAGAAAUAGAGGAAAUUUGAUGCAAUGGUUCAAGACUCGGACUCCAAUUUUGAAAAGAUCCUGGAUCUAUCAAUUUCCAACUAUAGGAAUUUGGGAUCAAACCUGAAACCUUGGUGUAUCAGGACAACACUCUACCAAACUGAACUACCUAGAGGAGGCUCCACUGUUUUUCUGUAAUAUAUAGAACCUCCAGCAGAAGGUCACAAGUGGGGCAGCACCAUCAUCCUACAUCCGGGGAAAAGCCAGGUGGUUUCUAAAGGAAGGAACAAGCGAGGAACCAGACAGCAGUGGGACCCCCUUUCUCCGGCCCCUGUCUGCGUAUCUGCCUCCCUCCCACAGCGCAGAGUUUGGCAACAGCAGCAGAAUCCUGUAAGCAAUGGGAAAAGAAGAAUUGAAACUCCCUGAGACCCUCCCCAGCACUGACUCAGUACUAAAGUCAAGCUGACCUCCACUGACUUCUCUCCACUGACAUGUCCACAGUCCAGCAAGCUCUCAACCCUAAAGUAGCCAUCCAAGUGGGGUCAAGGGCGGUAAGAAGUUUGAACUUGGAAGGGCUCUUAACCCAUCAAGGUUGCCUUCACUGCAGCACAAAGCACAGAGCCCAAUUUGAAAGGCCUCCCAGCAUUGCUUUGGGAUCCUCCACCACCCCCAAACCAAGAAUGCAAAAAAAAAAGUUUAGAACACUUGAUAAAAUGCAUAUUGAGUGGGAUUCUUCCAGUCUUAAAGAUGGUCACAUUUUCUAAUUAAGAGCUCUCAAGGAGCAGAAGCAGAUUCUAAAUGAACGAGCCUGAGUUCAGGAAUGGUGGAACAAAGUGGAUGUUCCCAGAGUGGUUUUAAGUCAGAUACCUACCUGUUCUCUGGUCAUAAAUCUCUAAAUUCAGUCCACCCCUCCCAGACUUAUUACAGCACCUUUCGCAUUGUCUGAAGAACCCAUAACUUAUUUGAAUGUCAGUUGGGUUUACUUAUGCUGCUUUUUAAAAAAUGCACACACCCCAAGAAAUGUGUGAAGGCUUUUCUUCACCAACACUUGAGUGCAAAGUUACCUAAUUAGCGGGCUUCCUUUCUAACACCGGCUCUGAGCAAUCACUUUAAACACAAUGAAGAAGGAGGGUGUGGAGAGAGAGGAAGAGGAGCCAAGAACUCAGAAAGAGAAGAGAAGUCUCCUGAGAGGAAAGGGGUCCCACUGUCUUGGAAGGUGGCCAGAUUCUGGUCCUGUGUAAGAAGAAAGAACAGCACGCAUUCCAAGCCUGCAGCUGCCCUCGUGUGAAAUGAUGAGGUGUGGAUCCUGCUGCUGUCAACUCGCAGUCAUUGCAGAAGGAACACUCCUCGUCUCUAACGGCACAGGCCUGGAUAGGAACUUGGAGAUCAUCUGCCCCGACACUCCUUGGAAUGGAAAACCGAAGUCCAAAGAGGGAAAUGACCUGCCAAAAAUCACACAUCAUUGAAUGAUGAAUCUGAACUACAAACAAAGUCUCUCUCUCAUCCUGGUCUCAGAGCGCCCAGCACGGUGCAAGCCACACAGGAUGCUUAGUGAAUGCUGGCUUCCUUUAUGCAUUUUUCCCUCCUCCCUCUGCUGGUCCCUCCUCUCCUUCCUGCUCAUCAGAUUAAAGUAAUUUAUAAGCACUUAGUGCUUAUUUUCCUGGGACUUUUUCCAAAUUUGGUUAGAUUUAU